rnacentral:piRNA from 2 species
AGGGCUGGAGAGAUGGCUCAGGG